rnacentral:rRNA from 1 species
GGGCUCGCGUACCAUUAGCUUGUUGGUAGGGUAAUGGCCUACCAAGGCUACGAUGGUUAGCUGGUCUGAGAAGAUGGCCAGCCACACUGGAACUGAAACACGGUCCAGACUCCUACGGGAGGCAGCAGUGAGGAAUCUUGCGCAAUGGGGGAAACCCUGACGCAGCGACGCCGUGUGAGUGAAGAAGGACUUCGGGUCGUAAAGCUCUGUCAAGUGGGAAUUGAAGGUACCACUAAAGGAAGCACCGGCUAACUCCGUGCCAGCAGCCGCGGUAAUACGGAGGGUGCAAGCGUUAUUCGGAUUUAUUGGGCGUAAAGGGCGUGUAGGCGGUUGGGAUAGUCAGAUGUGAAAGCCUUCUGCUCAACAGAAGAAGUACGUCUGAAACUGCCCAACUUGAGUACGAGAGAGGAAAGUGGAAUUCCCGGUGUAGAGGUGAAAUUCGUAGAU